CCAGGAAUGGAGCCUGCGGCUUAAUUUGACUCAACACGGGAAAACUUACCCGGCCCGGACACAGGAAGGAUUGACAGAUUAAGAGCUCUUUCUUGAUUCUGUGGGUGGUGGUGCAUGGCCGUUCUUAGUUGGUGGAGCGAUUUGUCUGGUUAAUUCCGAUAACGAACGAGACUCUAGCCUACUAAAUAGACGUUCCGAUCCACUGCGUCGGACGUUCUUCUUAGAGGGACAAGCGGCGUUUAGCCGCACGAGACAGAGCAAUAACAGGUCAGUGAUGCCCUUAGAUGUUCGGGGCCGCACGCGCGCUACAUUGAAGGAAUCAGCGUGUGCUUUCCCUGUCCGACAGGACUGGGUAACCCGUUGAAACUCUUUCGUGCUGGGGAUAGGGAAUUGUAAUUGUUUCCCUUGAACGAGGAAUUCCCAGUAAGCGCGAGUCAUAAGCUCGCGUUGAUUACGUCCCUGCCCUUUGUACACACCGCCCGUCGCUACUACCGAUUGAACGAUUUAGUGAGGUCUUCGGACUGGCGCUCGGAGCGGCUUUCGGGUCGUGCCGGCGUGCCGGAAAGAUGACCGAACUUGACCGUUUAGAGGAAGUAAAAGUC
rnacentral:rRNA from 1 species